AUUCUCAGUAUUGCUUCUAUGGAAAGAUCAAGCUAAUUAAUGAUGCCGAAGAGUUCUUAGGGGAAUUUGACUCAAGCAAGUAACUGAUCAUAGAGUAAUUGAUAACUUCGUUAGAAACACAAAACUGUGUUCGAAACCCUCUUCGCGGAAUAAUUCAGGUUUAAAUUGCUAUUAUGGAGCAUUGGAGCAAUGGUUAAGCUAGAAGGACUUAAAGCGAUAAAUGAGGAGCAAUCAUUUAGUGCAAAUCUUCUUGAAGCUGUAUCUCAGCUUAUUUUUAGUAUCCAAAGAUGGAUUUGGAUUUCGUGUUCUUCGUCGAAGUUGUAGAUCUGUUUUUUAUCUUUCCAACGAGACCAAGAUCACAUCAAUUAGACGAUUAUAGCUCGAGUUAUACCCAAAAUACGAAAUCAACACAUUAACUCGCUAAAUAAACUCGCUAUAGUGAGUUAAAGAGCGAGCAUCACUUAUUUUUCAUCUUAAACUCGCUAGUUUUUCUCUCUAUAGCGAGCAACACAGUGAGCAAUGUCAUUUUUGAAAGCCCAUGGAUCUUCUGCGAUAAAAGAUACACUCUAAGACUUUUCUAAUCACUUUUGACAGCUGAGGAUGACUUUGGAGAGGCAGAGGAGCUUUGUUAUAGACCAGAGAAGGGAGAGGAAUGGUUAAAGCUUCACCGUGGAAACCAAUUACCUCGUUCUUUUAUGUUUUUGUUUUGUUUUUCAUCUCUUUGUUUAGUU